UACGGAGGAUCCGAGCGUUAUCCGGAUUUAUUGGGUUUAAAGGGUGCGCAGGCGGGAGAUUAAGUCGGCGGUGAAAUUUUGCAGCUCAACUGUAAAAGUGCCUUCGAAACUGGUUUCCUUGAGUGUAGAUGAAGUAGGCGGAAUUUGUGGUGUAGCGGUGAAAUGCAUAGAUAUCACGAGGAACUCCGAUUGCGCAGGCAGCUUACUAAACUACUACUGACGCUCAGGAACGAAGGCGUGGGGAUCAAACAGGAUUAGAUACCCUGGUAGU
rnacentral:rRNA from 1 species